AGGGCAGACGGUGGAUGCCUUGGCUCUCGGAGGCGACGAAGGACGUGAUAAGCUGCGAAAAGCCCGGGGGAGGCGCAAAUAGCCCUUGAUCCCGGGAUAUCCGAAUGGGGCAACCCGGCAGGCUGAAGGCCUGCCAUCCCGUAAGGGAGGCGAACGUGGGGAACUGAAACAUCUAAGUACCCAUAGGAGGAGAAAAUAAACAAUGAUUCCGUAAGUAGUGGCGAGCGAACACGGAAGAGCCCAAACCCAUGUCGUCUAGGCGACACGGGGGUUGUAGGACCACGACGUGGCAAGAUAGAGUCAAGUGGAACGCCUUGGAAAAGGCGGUCAUAGAGGGUGAAAACCCCGUACACGACUGACGAUUGAAGCCUAGUGGCAUCCUGAGUAGCGCGGGGCACGAGAAAUCUUGCGUGAAUUAGCGGGGCCCAUCCCGUAAGGCUAAAUACUCCCGAGAGACCGAUAGCGAACCAGUACCGUGAGGGAAAGGUGAAAAGAACCCCGAGCAGGGGAGUGAAAUAGACCCUGAACCCGUCUGCCUACAAGCGGUCGGAGCGUCGUAAUGACGUGACGGCGUGCCUUUUGCAUAAUGAACCUACGAGUUACCUUCCCCGGCAAGGUUAAGUACCUAAGGUACGGAGCCGAAGCGAAAGCGAGUCUGAACAGGGCGCCAAGUCGGGGGGGGUAGACGCGAAACCGAGUGAUCUACCCUUGGCCAGGUUGAAGGUUGGGUAACACCAACUGGAGGACCGGAUGGGUAAGCGUUGAAAAGCUUUCCAAUGAGCUGAGGGUAGGGGUGAAAGGCUAAUCAAACUCGGAGAUAGCUCGUACUCCCCGAAAUGCAUUUAGGUGCAGCCUCUUUAUAGUAUAUCGUGAGGUAGAGCGACUGAUUGGAUGCGAGGGCUUCACCGCCUAUCAAGUCCAGAUAAACUCCGAAUGCGCGAUAUAUAUUUACAGGGAGUGAGGGCGCGGGUGCUAAGGUCCGUGUCCGAGAGGAGAAGAAUCCAGACCACCGGCUAAGGCCCCCAAAUGAUCGUUAAGUUGAACUAACGAGGUCGGAUCGCAGAGACAGCUAGGAUGUUGGCUUGGAAGCAGCCAUUCAUUUAAAGAGUGCGUAACAGCUCACUAGUCGAGCGAUCUGGCGUGGAUAAUAAUCGGGCAUAAACGAUCUGCCGAAGCCGUGGAUGUCGCAAGACAUGGUAGGGGAGCAUUCCAUGCCGCGUCGAAGAUGAGGGGUGACCCUUGUUGGAGCGCAUGGAAAAGCAAAUGUAGGUAUGAGUAACGAUAAGGGGGGCGAGAAACCCCCCCGCCGAAAGACCAAGGUUUCCUGAUCAACGCUAAUCGGAUCAGGGUGAGUCGGGACCUAAGGCAAAGCCGAACGGCGCCGCCGAUGGAAGAAUGGGUUAAUAUUCCCAUACUGCCUCAUGGAGUGACGUGGAGACGGAGAAGUGACAGUCCUGCCGGCUGACGGAAUAGCCGGUUGAAGGGUGUAGAUAUUGAUUCCCGUAGGCAAAUCCGCGGGGAGAGUCGAACCUGAGAGUAUACGGAGCGCUUGCGCAACGUAAUAUGGACGUAACCAUGCUCCCGAGAAAAUCCGCUAAACUUAUCCAUGCGGCACCCGUACCGUAAACGGACACACGUGGUCGGGUUGAGAAUACUGAGGCGCUCGAGUGAUUCACGGUUAAGGAACUAGGCAAAUUGACCCUGUAACUUCGGGAUAAAGGGUCCCAACGAGAGUUGGGCGCAGAGAAUAGGUCCAGGCAACUGUUUAACAAAAACACAGGGCUGUGCUAAAUUGAAAGAUUACGUAUACAGCCUGACACCUGCCCGGUGCUGGAAGGUUAAGAGGAGAUGUCAUCGCAAGAGAAGCAUUGAAUUGAAGCCCCAGUAAACGGCGGCCGUAACUAUAACGGUCCUAAGGUAGCGAAAUUCCUUGUCGGGUAAGUUCCGACCUGCACGAAUGGUGUAAUGAUCUGGACACUGUCUCAACCGUGAGCUCAGUGAAAUUGUAGUAUCGGUGAAGAUGCCGAUUACCCGCGAUGGGACGAAAAGACCCCGUGAACCUUUACUAUAGCUUAACAUUGAAUUUGGGUAAUUGAUGUGUAGGAUAGGCCGGAGACUUUGAAGCAGGUACGCCAGUAUUUGUGGAGUCGCUGUUGAAAUACGGCCCUUUGAUUAUUUGAGUUCUAACUCGUGGAUGCGAGGACACUGUUUGGUGGGUAGUUUGACUGGGGUGGUCGCCUCCAAAAGUGUAACGGAGGCUUCUAAAGGUGCCCUCAGGACGAUUGGUAACCGUCCGUAGAGUGUAAUGGCAUAAGGGCGCUUGACUGGGAGACAGACAAGUCGAUCAGGUAGGAAACUAGAGCAUAGUGAUCCGGUGUUUCCGUAUGGAAGGGACAUCGCUCAAAGGAUAAAAGGUACUCCGGGGAUAACAGGCUGAUCCCUCCCA
rnacentral:rRNA from 1 species